UACGUAGGGUCCGAGCGUUAUCCGGAAUCACUGGGCGUAAAGCGUCUGUAGGUGGUCAAAUAAGUCAACUGUUAAAUCUUGAGGCUCAACCUCAAAAUCGCAGUCGAAACUAUUAGACUAGAGUAUAGUAGGGGUAAAGGGAAUUUCCAGUGGAGCGGUGAAAUGCGUAGAGAUUGGAAAGAACACCGAUGGCGAAGGCACUUUACUGGGCUAUUACUAACACUCAGAGACGAAAGCUAGGGUAGCAAAUGGG
rnacentral:rRNA from 1 species